AUUGAACGCUGGCGGCAGGCUUAACCCUUGCCAGUCGAGCGAGCGGCGGACGGGUGAGUAAUGUCUGGGAAACUGCCUGAUGUAGGGGGAUAACUACUGGAAACGGUAGCUAAUACCGCAUACCAUCAGAUGUGCCCAGAUGGGAUUAGCUAGUAGGUGGGGUAAUGGCUCACCUAGGCGACGAUCCCUAGCUGGUCUGAGAGGAUGACCAGCCACAAGGGAACUGAGACACGGUCCAGACUCCUACGGGAGGCAGCAGUGGGGAAUAUUGCACAAUGGGCGCAAGCCUGAUGCAGCCAUGCCGCGUGUGUGAAGAAGGCCUUCGGGUUGUAAAGCACUUUCAGCGAGGAGGCGUUACUCGCAGAAGAAGAAACGGAGAACUACGAGCCAGCAGCCGCGGUAAUUC
rnacentral:rRNA from 1 species